UAUUAAAUAAGUAAGAGUUUGUGGUGGAUGCCUUGGGUCUGGAAGACGAAGAAGGACGUGAUUACCUGCGAUAAGCCUCGAGGAGCUGGAUAUAAGCUAUGAAUCGGGGAUGUCCGAAUGGGGAAACCCAACUAGAGUAAUGUCUAGUUACUAUAUUCUGAAUACAUAGGAAUAUUAGAGUUAUACGUUGCGAAGUGAAACAUCUUAGUAGCAAUAGGAAAAGAAAAUAAAUUAAAAUGAUUCCGUAAGUAGCGGCGAGCGAACGCGGAAGAGCCCAAACCAACAUUUGUUGGGGUUGUAGGACAAUCUACAUUUAGUUACAAAAUUUAUAUAUAGCAGAAUGACUUGGGAAGGUCAAGCAUAGAAGGUUAUACUCCCGUAUGCGAAAUAUAUAAAACUAAUGAUUGUAUCCUGAGUAGGGCGGGGCACGAGAAACCCUGUCUGAAUCUGCCGGGACCACCCGGUAAGGCUAAAUACUAACCAGACACCGAUAGUGAACAAGUACCGUGAGGGAAAGGUGAAAAGAACCCCGGGAGGGGAGUGAAAUAGAUUCUGAAACCACUUACUUACAAUUAGUCAGAGGCCGUUAAUGGCUGAUGGCGUACAUCUUGCAGGAUGGUCCGGCGAGUUAUGUUAACAUGCAAGGUUAAGCGGAAAAAAGCGGAGCCGAAGAGAAAUCGAGUCUGAAUAGGGCGAUUAGUAUGUUGGCAUAGACCCGAAACCAGGUGAUCUACCCAUGAGCAGGUUGAAGCUUAGGUAAAACUAAGUGGAGGACCGAACCGAAGUACGCUGAAAAGUGCUCGGAUGACUUGUGGGUAGCGGUGAAAUUCCAAUCGAACCUGGAGAUAGCUGGUUCUCCUCGAAAUAGCUUUAGGGCUAGCGUGUGAUGUUAAAUAUUGGGGGUAGAGCACUAAAUGUGGAAUGGCGGCGCCUAGCCGUACUGACUAUAAUUAAACUCCGAAUACCAGUAUGUAUUGUCAUGCAGUCGGAAUAUGGGUGAUAACGUCCAUAUUCGCGAGGGAAACAACCCAGAUCGUCAGCUAAGGUCCCAAAAUUGUGUUAAGUGAGAAAGGUUGUGAGAUUUCACAGACAACUAGUAUGUUGGCUUAGAAGCAGCCAUCAUUCAAAGAGUGCGUAAUAGCUCACUAGUCAAGAGAUCUUGCGCCAAUAAUUUAACGGGACUAAACACAAUACCGAAGCUACGGGUGUGCUUUUGCACACGUUAGAGGAGCGUUCUAAGGGCAAUGAAGGUAGACCGUAAGGACUGCUGGAGCGCUUAGAAGUGAGAAUGCCGGAAUGAGUAACGAUUCAAGGUGAGAAUCCUUGACGCCUAUUGGGAAAGGUUUCCUGGGCAAGGUUCGUCCACCCAGGGUUAGUCGGGGCCUAAGGCAAGGCCGAAAGGCGUAGUCGAUGGAUAACAGGUUAAUAUUCCUGUACUUCCUUAGUAAGUGAUGAAAUGACGGAGAAGGAUAAUGCGGCCACUUAUCGGAUUGUGGUAUAAAUAUCAAGAAGGCUAUGGAGGAAAAUCCCUAUAGCAUAACUUUAAGAUAUGACGUAUAGUGAAAGCUUCGGCAAGUAACAAUUGUAUGAUUUCAUGCUUCCAAGAAAAGUUUCUAGCGUUAUAAAACUAUGGAACCCGUACCAAGAACGGACACACGUUCCCAAGAUGAGUAUUCUAAGGCGAGCGAGAUAACCAAUGUUAAGGAACUCUGCAAAAUGACCCUGUAAGUUCGCGAGAAGGGGUACUUAGGUAUGAAUUUGUAAAAAUUUGUAUACUAAGUCGCAGUAAAAUGUGAGGGGCAACUGUUUACCAAAAACACAGCUCUCUGCUAAGUUGCAAGAUGAUGUAUAGAGGGUGACGCCUGCCCAGUGCCCGAAGGUUAAGUUAAUCUGUUAGUCGCAAGAUGAAGCAGUGAUAUGAAGCCCGGGUGAACGGCGGCCGUAACUAUAACGGUCCUAAGGUAGCGAAAUUCCUUGUCGGCUAAUUACUGACGUGCACGAAAGGCGUAAUGAUCUCUCAGCUGUCUCAACAUUGGACUCGGUGAAAUUAUGGUGGCAGUGAAAACGCUGUCUUCCCGCACCUAGACGAAAAGACCCCGUGGAGCUUUACUAUAACUUCGUAUUGAAAUUUGGUUUAACAUGUGUAGAAUAGGUGGGAGACUUUGAAGUAGAGAUGCUAGUUUCUAUGGAGUCACCUUUGAAAUACCACCCUUGUUAAAUUGAAUUUCUAACCUGCAGCCAUUAUCUGGCUGGGGGACAGUGCGUGGUGGGUAGUUUGACUGGGGCGGUCGCCUCCCAAAGAGUAACGGAGGCGUUCAAAGUUACACUCAGCAUGGUCAGAAACCAUGUGAAGAGCAUAAUGGUAAAAGUGUGAUUGACUGCAAGACGUACAUGUCGAGCAGGUACGAAAGUAGGACAUAGUGAUCCGGCGGUUCAUCGUGGAAUGGCCGUCGCUCAACGGAUAAAAGUUACCCCGGGGAUAACAGGCUAAUCUUUCCCAAGAGAUCACAUCGACGGGAAGGUUUGGCACCUCGAUGUCGGCUCGUCGCAUCCUGGAGCUGAAGUAGGUUCCAAGGGUUUGGCUGUUCGCCAAUUAAAGCGGCACGCGAGCUGGGUUCAGAACGUCGUGAGACAGUUCGGUCCCUAUCUGGUGUGGGCGUUGGAAUAUUGAUGAGAGCUGCUCUUAGUACGAGAGGACCGGAGUGGACAUACCUCUAGUGUGCCAGUUGUUUCGCCAGAAGCAUAGCUGGGUAGCUAAGUAUGGAAAGGAUAACCGCUGAAAGCAUCUAAGUGGGAAGCCUCCUCAAAGAUUAAUAUUCCCUUGAAAUUCCUUAAAGACUAUAAGGUUGAUAGGUUGGGUGUGUAAGUGUAGUGAUACAUUUAGCUAACCAAUACUAAUAAAUUGAUAGGUUUAAUAAC
rfam:Mycoplasma mobile 163K complete genome.